rnacentral:rRNA from 1 species
AUUGAACGCUGGCGGCAGGCCUAACACAUGCAAGUCGAGCGGAUGAAGGGAGCUUGCUCCUGGAUUCAGCGGCGGACGGGUGAGUAAUGCCUAGGAAUCUGCCUGGUAGUGGGGGAUAACGUCCGGAAACGGGCGCUAAUACCGCAUACGUCCUGAGGGAGAAAGUGGGGGAUCUUCGGACCUCACGCUAUCAGAUGAGCCUAGGUCGGAUUAGCUAGUUGGUGGGGUAAAGGCCUACCAAGGCGACGAUCCGUAACUGGUCUGAGAGGAUGAUCAGUCACACUGGAACUGAGAAACGGUCCAAACUCCUACGGGAGGCAGCAGGGGGGAAUUUGGGACAAUGGGCGAAAGCCUGAUCCAGCCAUGCCGGGUGGGUGAAGAAGGUCUUCGGAUUGUAAAGCAUUUUAAGUUGGGAGGAAGGGAAGUAAGUUAAAACCUUGCUGUUUUGACGUUACCAAAAGAAUAAGCACCGGCGAACUUCGU